rnacentral:rRNA from 1 species
UACGAAGGGGGCUAGCGUUGCUCGGAAUCACUGGGCGUAAAGCGCACGUAGGCGGACUCUUAAGUCAGGGGUGAAAUCCUGGAGCUCAACUCCAGAACUGCCUUUGAUACUGGGGGUCUUGAGUUCGGGAGAGGUGAGUGGAACUGCGAGUGUAGAGGUGAAAUUCGUAGAUAUUCGCAAGAACACCAGUGGCGAAGGCGGCUCACUGGCCCGAUACUGACGCUGAGGUGCGAAAGCGUGGGGAGCAAACAGG